rnacentral:rRNA from 1 species
AAUGGAGAGUUUGAUCCUGGCUCAGGAUGAACGCUGGCGGCGUGCCUAAUACUCGAACGCUUCACAUAUGUGAAGAGUGGCGAACGGGUGAGUAAUACAUAAGUAACCUGGCCUUUACAGGGGGAUAACUAUUGGAAACGAUAGCUAAGACCGCAUAGGUGUCAUAACCGCAUGGAGAUGAUAUGAAAUAUGCUACGGCAUAGGUAGAGGAUGGACUUAUGGCGCAUUAGCUAGUUGGAGGGGUAACGGCCCACCAAGGCGACGAUGCGUAGCCGACCUGAGAGGGUGACCGGCCACACUGGGACUGAGACACGGCCCAGACUCCUACGGGAGGCAGCAGUAGGGAAUUUU